UGGGGAUGUGGUGGAACUGGUAGACACGCUUGGCUUAGAACCAAGUGCCGCAAGGCGUGGGGGUUCGACUCCCUCCAUCCCUACCAA
rnacentral:tRNA from 1 species